UGGAGGAAUAUGCGGGGCGGGUGAAGGCAGGAGCUCGCAUUAGCUAUAUUGCAAGUUAGUCCCGCUCAAGCUUUAUAAAAGUCAUCUCCGUGUCACUGCGUUUAGCAUAGUGCGUUCUUAUGCAUUGCCCUCGCAUAAAAAAUAAGUUAACUGGCGUGAUUUGUGAUGUCUUUCUUCAAGAGAAAGUUCCGAACUCAUUCCCGGAACAGCUCAGUGUCAAGCUCUUCCUCCUGUCCAGUUGAAAGGAGCAUUACCCCACAGCCCAAGUCAGGAGCUGGCUCUCCAGACCCACAAGCCAGCUUUCUGUCAAGUAUCCAGGAGGAAGAAAGGAAAUGGCAAACUAUCACAGACAGCGAGAAGGAGCAUCUGAUCAGCCAGCGUCUGACAAAGACUCUCAGCUGCCUCGUCUCGGACAAGUGCGCACUUGGCUACCUGACAGCCUUCUUGGAGAGCCGUCAGGCGGCCGGCUACCUGCACUUCUGGAUGGAGGCAGAGGCGAUCCGACGCCAGCUGGAACCGGGCGCCAGCGCCGCCGACCGC